GUACUUGCCUUGUGCCAGGGCCUCUUUGAUCACCAAGAACGAGCCUCCAGAGCAAGGCGCGGGCAUUGCACUGUGCUUGCGAUGACCCCUGCCACUACCCCAAACUGGGGCAGAUGGGGCAUGCAAAUUGCUUAAAUCUUGUUCAAAGCAAGA
rnacentral:snRNA from 1 species